CAGCCGCCGCGGGAACACGUAGGUGGCAAGCGUUGUCCGGAAUUAUUGGGCGUAAAGGGCUCGCAGGCGGUUUCUUAAGUCUGAUGUGAAAGCCCCCGGCUCAACCGGGGAGGGUCAUUGGAAACCGGGAAACUUGAGUGCAGAAGAGGAGAGUGGAAUUCCACGUGUAGCGGUGAAAUGCGUAGAGAUGUGGAGGAACACCAGUGGCGAAGGCGACUCUCUGGUCUGUAACUGACGCUGAGGAGCGAAAGCGUGGGGAGCGAACAGGAUUAGAUACCCGCGUAGUCCCUGUCUCUUAUAC
rnacentral:rRNA from 1 species